GGACGGGUGAGUAACGUGUAAGAAUCGGCCCUUGGGAGGGGAACAACUAAAAGCGACUACUAAUACAUCGUGGGCUAAGGAGCUAAAUGAGGAAUCCGCCUGAAGAGCAGCUCGCGUUUCAUUAGCUAAUUGGUAAGGCAAUAGCUUACCGAGGCGAUGAUCAAUAGUAAUCUGAGAGGAUGAUCAGCCAUAUUGGGACUGAGACACCGCCCAGACUGCCAGUGAG
rnacentral:ncRNA from 1 species